rnacentral:tRNA from 1 species
GGAGGGAUGGCUGAGUGGUCGAAAGCGGCGGUCUUGAAAACCGUUGAGGGUAACGCCUCCGUGGGUUCGAAUCCUACUCCCUCCGCCA